rnacentral:tRNA from 39 species
GCGGGAGUGGCGGAAUUGGCAGACGCACCAGACUUAGGAUCUGGCGCCUUACGGCGUGGGGGUUCAAGUCCCUUCUCCCGCACCA